AGUGAACGCUGGCGGUAGGCCUAACACAUGCAAGUCGAACGGCAGCACAGUAAGAGCUUGCUCUUACGGGUGGCGAGUGGCGGACGGGUGAGGAAUACAUCGAAAUCUACUUUUUCGUAGGGGAUCACGUAGGGGAACUUACGCUAAUACCGCAUACGACCUACGGGGGAAAGCAGGGGAUCUUCGGACCUUGCGCGAUUGAAUGAGCGGAUGUCGGUUUAGCUAGUUGGCGGGGUAAAUGCCCACCUAGGCGCCGAUCCGUAGCUGGUGUGAGAGACUGGUCGGCCGCAUGGGAACGGAGACACGGACCAGACGCCUGCGGGAGGCAGCAGUGUGGAAUGUUGGGCAAUGGGCGCAAGUCUGAUCCAGCCAUACCGCGCGUGAGGAGACGGCCUUGCGGUUGGAAAGCCGUUUUUUUGGGAGAGAAAAGCAUCAGGUUGAUACGCCGCUGUUCUGACGGUACUCAAAGAAGAAGCACCGGCUAACUUCGUG
rnacentral:rRNA from 1 species